UGUGUUGGAGCAGGGUUAAAACUAAACUGUGCAGGGCUUUGGCCCUCCAGGAAUUGAGUUUGACACCCCUGAUCUACUAUGUGUUGGGCGCUCAAUAGAGAAGAAUUAAACGCCUUGCCAAUAGUGUGGUGAAAGCAAUUAGUCUGAAUAUUUCUUCUUUAAGUACAAUAUUUUCAGGGGUUCCAAAAAUUGCCAAUAGGGCUUCGGGUUUAAAAAGGAAACCAUACAUGAAACUAACAAUUUAAAACAUAUAUUUUCAAAACCUACCUAGAUUUGGGCUGAACACAAACAUGUAGGCAGUUGUGGCUGGUGAAUUUCCUGUUACUUUUUAAAAGAAUUGUACUGAAAUCAAACUUCUGAAGACUUGUUUUAUUUCUGUUGUUGGUUUUAGUUAAGACAUGGUGAAUGUAAAAAAUAUUUUGAGGUUCUGUCCUCAGCAAAUUACAAUCAUACACUGAUCUCAUUGAUAAGGAAUUAAUUGUGUCCUUUGCUUUAAAUUUGACUACAACUGAGAGGCUGAAACAUGUUUCAACUGCAGCAUUACACCAGAGAUUACUCAAGAGUUUUUUUGAGUCACUUAGGAAAUGCUGGAGAUUCUUACUUCAGACAGAUAAUACCAGCGUUUCACCAUUUUCUUUAUAAAGUUAAGGUGAAGGCCAGAACACACAGUAAACAAUGAUGCUGUUUAAAACCUGAUAGAAGGUACAGGAGUAAAAUCUGAGGUAAGAAACCAUUAAUGAACGUGUAUUAUAGAUCUCUGUGUUCCACUUUAAUAAACUCUGUUGUUUAAUGCCACAAUUAAUUAAUAACACUAUUGUUAAGUUUAAUGUUUCGUAUUUUUUAUCUCAAAGAAGUCUUUGUAUUUAUCCAGCAACUGUGCUUUACUGAAGAUGGACAAAUCAAAGCCAUCACCUUUUUUGACACCACUUUUAGUGAUAUUAACUCUUGUUGUCCUGGGAGUUUUGACUGCUGCCAUUGGAAUAGGAGCCAACUUUCUAAGAGACUGUCCUGUUCAGCCUAACAUCCCCGUCUACCUCAUAGUCUUAGGCGUAUUUGUUUUGCUGGCUUUGAUUGGGAGCCUGGGCUUACUGUAUGGUCUACAUGCUAAAGACACCUAUGAGAUGCUGCUGUUGUCUGCGCUGGUCAUCUCCGUCAGCUUCAUACUUUACCUGUUUAUAGUCUGCUGGUUCAUCACAGGAAGUUUCUGGAUAUAUUCUGUUCAUCCCCCAAGUUAUGACCCAACAACUGAACAGAAUUACUGCAACAAAACUCUUUACCUCUUUGCUUUCUGGUUGAAUACAGUCUGUUAUAGCUGCCUACUAGCUAUCUUGUUUCUUUGUAGUGGAUGUACAGUGCUUCAUAUAUGUGUAAAACCUAAUUUUCAAAGACCACCUUCAAACUCUCAGUUAGAAGUGUGAGAUUAUUUCUUUUUGCAUGUAUCAUGAUUGUAUUUCAAGUCCAUUCAGAGGACUAAUGUUUUUACUAAGAAUCAAACCCAUGGUCUUCAUAUCCUCUAUCCUGUAUCUUCUACCAGUGUAGGGGUACAACAAAAGUAAUGUUUACCAUGAACUGAUUUGACAUAAUCAAUAUAGUUGUAUAGUUCUGUGUUUAAAUGCACAUCAUAAUGAAGACCUGAUUGUAACUUGGAAAUCAUUGAUGUUAAUAUGCAGUAUAUUUGCAGUGUAAAAUAUUAACAACAUUAAUAUUUUAUAAAUUAAAGAUUCUUUUAAAAGGGGGUUUGUCCUGUUUCAGUUUGAGUUUGCUUACUCAACAUUUCACCAAAGGAAGUGUUUCAGAGCUUCUGGGCAAGUCUGUAAACCACAGAACUGUGAAAACAUACUGCUUGACUAAGAGCAACUGCGCAGUUUAACUUGGAUGUCUUAUUCACAUCUUCUUUAUGGAGGUCAUUCUGCUCCUAUUUAAACGUCUAGUUUCCCCCACAAACGUGUCAAAUUAAAAAGAGAACUUUAUCAGUAAUUAAUUAAGGAGCUGCGGAAGAUGGAGAUGACCGAGACUGCAGCCAGAAAAUCUUUCAUUGUGAUGAUUAACAUGAUUGCAUGGAUGAUUUUAAUAUCAGCUACUGGAUUAGGAGCAAUCCAUUAUCAUGAAUGUCCUGUUCAGCCCAAACUCCCACUCUAUGUGACUGUGAUCGGUGUGACUGGUCUGCUUUCACUGCUGCUCAUGUACCUGAGAAACUCUCUAGAUGAUUGUCUGUUGGCUCGCUUGUGCAGUGCCGUAAGCCUGAUGCUCUACAUGUUCAUUGUGUGCUGGUUUUUUACUGGAACCUACUGGAUUUACUCCAUUUAUCCUCCCAACUAUGACCUGACUAGUACUGGAGACCACUGUCACAGAACCCUGUAUCUGUUUGCAUUUUGGUUUAACAAUCUCUGCUUUAUGUGUGUGUCAGUAAUAUUUGUUUUUUUCAUGUACACAAUUUUAUAUAACUGUACUAUUGUUUUAUUUACCAAUAGAACUGAAUGUUAAGCUGCAAACCACUGUAAAGAGUUACUAGUUAAAGUGAUAUUUCUACCUUUUUUAAAGUUGCUGGAAUAACAAGUAUUUAUGUGGAUUUGUUACAGUGCUCAGCAUAUAUGAGUACACCUUCACAAAUCUGUCUUUUAAAUAAUACUUUUAAUA